UACGUAGGGUGCAAGCGUUAUCCGGAAUCACUGGGCGUAAAGCGUGCGUAGGUGGGAAUUUAAGUGAGAUGUGAAAUCGUGUGGCUCAACCAUAUCGUUGUAUCUCAUACUGGGUUCCUAGAGGACGGCAGAGGCAAGUGGAACUAGCAGUGUAGCAGUGAAAUGCGUAGAUAUGACCCGGAACACCGAUUGCGAAGGCAGCCCGCUAAGCAAUGAUUGACGCUGAGGCACGAAAGCGUGGGGAUCAAACAGG
rnacentral:rRNA from 1 species